CAGCUGUGUUUGCUAGGGAUGGAGAAAAAGUGUGACACCAAUCAGGCCCUCGAGGACUGGAGUUGCCCACCCCUGCUCUAGUGACUACAGCAUCAGACCGAAACAUGGCUCACUCGGGAUAUGUUGCCAGAGUCGAUACAGCCACCCGGAUUCUUCAUGCAUCACUCCGACAGAAACAAACAUCUCUCUGGGGAGUGUUCCCUUACAUUCCAACCUGGUGCAUAUCUAUCUACAGUACCUGGUGCCUAAAAAGGGCUGUGUUUGUGCCUUACUGACUUGUGGUCACUUGGUGACUUGUCAUUUGGAACAUCUAUUUCAUAUUUGUUGUUACGAGAUGUAUGUACUGUUGCUUCUGUUGUAAAUUAACUUUAUGUAUUUAAGACCUUUUUUGAUAUUCACAUUUAUUUAAUAUGUGUACUUACUGAGGACUUUUAAUCUGUUUUUAAUGUAACACAUUC